AGGUGGAUGAGCAGGUUGUCGUGACGGUGGUGGUAUCAGAUAGUCAUGCUCGAGUCCGACAACACAACAACCUCCGAACUACGUGAACGUGCGAUUAAUUUGGGAGUGAUAUUGGAUGGAUAAGCCAAACAGAAGGCCCAGCAUUGAGCAGGGUGGACCAAGAACAGCACUGACAUUGUUUCUCAGAAAAACAUAAACCACAGCACAAGGCAGCAUAUUACACAGGAGAAUUAUACACUCUGGAGAUGAAUCUCACUCAUGAAUUUUCCACCUCACCGAUCCUGAUCAGAAAUGUUACACUCGACAAUGGUGCAUUAAUGUACAUCUACCUUUCAUUUUUUUGCAUCGAAGUCAUCUUGAGCCUUCCAAUCAAUUUCUACGUUUUGUGGUUUAUUUGCACGGGAAAAGGAAGUGGAAUAGUGGUGGAGUUCUUCAGCCUCAAUCUCGCUGUUUGUGAGAUUCUUUUCUGCCUGGGAUGUCUGCUCUUCAUUGCUGUUAUACGAUUUCCAACUCUUUUAUCUGGAACACUUUUUAUAUUAGCACUAGCCAUCUCUGGCCGAGCUCUGAUUAACUGUGCGAUCUGCAUUGAGCGCUACCUGGCAGUUCUCCAUCCUGUUUCCUUCCUGAGAUACAAACCACUUAGAUACAGACUGGUGUGUUCAGCUGCAAUUUGGGUGAUGGUUCUUGUCAUGAGUUUGUUCUGCAUAUUUGCUUUUCACGCAAAUAAUAACAUAUUUGUGUUUCUUUAUUUUUAUACUCCACUUUAUGUGCUCAUUUUCUUUGUUACAUCGAUUUGCUCCUUAGCUAUAUUUAGAGCUUUGAAGUCCCCAAGGCCAGGUGAGAAAGGGAAGGAGAGAGAGGAGUCCAAUCAUAUGAAGAAAAAAGCAAUUAGAUUCAUCCUGGUAAUCACAGUGAUGACAUUUUUUCAAUAUGCCCCUGGAUCUUUCGCAGGGUUUCUGUGUAGAACUCUGUCAGCUGCAGACUUUGGCCUAUUGUGGUGUGUUGUUACUAUCGUUGCUAUGUCGGCCAGUCAUGUAAGCCCUUUGCUAUAUAUCUACAGAGUGAAAAAAAAAUUUUAAUUUGUGCUAGUCUUAUUUUUUCAUUGCAGUUAUCAAAUCACAAAGACACAUUACAAAUUUUGAAUCUGUCUUGAAAGUGGAAUAUUGCAAACAAAAACAUUGGUGCAAUGUGUAUGACCAAAUCUGUAUGGUGUUGCUUUAAUCAAAACUUUAUUAUACAACUGUAAUUUCACAAUAUUGUAAUAUGAAAACUUUGUGAGAUUAUUGUGAGAUUAAUGGAUAAUGCAUUUGUAUGGCAGUCUGGGAAAAAUCGGAUAUUCCUGUGGCUGAAUUUUUUAUUUUUUACUUUUUAUUUUGUGAAUAAUAUACUUUGAUGUAUCUAUAAUUAGGUUAUAAAAGUAGAGGUAAAUGUGCUGUCUUUCUUUUGGAAUGGAAAGAUUAACAUUUCAAUUUUUCCUUUUUGAGGUAGCCAAACAUUAAACUGGUAUGAGAUGGUGGAGAUACAGUAUAUACGAAAGGGAAAGAUAUUUUUCUUCAGGAAGACGUACCAAAGUCAAAGUCCCUCCCAUGCCAGGACCUGGUCUUCUCAGGCAGUCUCCCGUCCCAGUACUAACCAGGCCCUUAAGGUGCAUUGGGCAGCGCCAAUCUUCUAUAGCCCUUGGCCUCUCGCCUAUUAUACAGCUAGGGUUACAGUGGAGUCUAGUCCUCUAGUAACUGUGAGAGUUUGACUCCCCACUCACAUCUGUAUUGUAGCAUGCCUUGCCAGACAGCAGUAGGCACCAUUUUUAUGAUUGUCUUUGGUAUGACCUGACCACAAGUCGAACUCACGAUCUCCAGAUGGAAAGGCAGACAUGCUAACGACUAGGCCAACUCGCGGUCAGGAAGACCUAUAGUUUUCAGAAUUAUAGACAGUGUAGAAAAUGGCCCUCUAUCACAUUGGGAGGGUUUUACCCUUCUACUAAAGAAACUUAAUUGCUGAGAAUGUUCAGUAUGUCGUUUUUUAAUGAAUAUGUCAUAUCCACUUCAAAGAGUAUAAGUAACAUUUGAAAUGAUAUAAGUUGUAGUUUCUUUUUAAACAGCACAACUGACUUCAUCUGUUAAGGAACAGCUUCAACAGUGAUGUUUUUAGUAUUAAAAAUAAAACUAUUAACCCAAUCCACACUGCACCAAACCCCUACUGCUACCUCUGUGGGUGGUGAACCCACAGGAGGUCGGGCCCACGUCACCUCUUCGGGCUGAGCCCGGCCGGGCCCCAUGGGCAAAGGCCCGGCCACCAAGCGCUCGCAUACGAGCCCCAACCCCGGGCCUGGCUCCAGGGUGGGGCCCCGGCUGCGUCCUACCGGGCGACGUCACGGUCCUGGAUUUUUUCUCCAUAGGGGUUUUUUGGUGAACUGCUCUUGGUCUGGCCUGUCACCUAGGACCUGUCUGCCUUGGGAAACCCUAACAGGGGCAUAAUGCCCCCGACAACAUAGCUCCUAGGAUCAUUCAAGCACACAAACCCCUCCACCACAAUAAGGUGGCAGUUCUAUGAGGGGAGUGGCGGAGUUAUACUCUAUAUUAAGUAUAAUGUUACACUCAAAUUACUUAUUAUUUAUUUUCUCAAAGCACAGAAAUCAAAUUUAAUAAUGUAGAGAGAAUGUAAGUGCUCAAUAAAUCCCUAAUAUUUUGUGUUUCAGCUAAAUCUUUCAGUUGAUCAUUCAAAAAUUUCAAAUGCAUUUUCACGUACUGUUCUCCA